AGGCCAGAUCGAUUUGUUUGAUUGAAUUUUGCAAAAUGGAUAAAGAAAUUUACUUUUUCCUGUGCCGAAAAACAAUUACUUAUUAAAAAAAAGCCAUAUUAUAGAAAAUAAGCCGACGGACGGGGCCACACUUCGCAUAACAAAAUGAGUCGUAGAACUCAGUAACCCGGGAAUUCAAUGCGAGCCCGCUUACUACGCAAAACGUCAAGAAUCAGCACCUCCGCAAGCUGUGGCAAAACCCCAAGCAGCGUCAAAGGGAUGCCUUGACCAAAGAAAGAGUAUACAACACCGCUUGAUUCUACGGAUUCCGACCCAGACAAGACCCAGACCCAGACGACUAUAAUCCGACCACCGAUCCAGCCUUGAUUUAAAAAAUGUGUUGCUGUUGCAGUUUCUUGUCAUUUCUUCUCCUCAACCGUAACAACACCUUGCGAAAUGACGUAGAUUUAAAAAAUUCGUAAUUGUAAAUAAGAAUUAAAGUAUACAUUUCU